rnacentral:rRNA from 1 species
GACGAACGCUAGCGGCAGGCUUAAUACAUGCAAGUCGUGGGGCAGCGCAGGUAGCAAUACUGGGCGGCGACCGGCAAACGGGUGCGGAACACGUACACAACCUUCCGAGAAGUGGGGAAUAGCCCAGAGAAAUUUGGAUUAAUACCCCGUAACAUAACGAUGUGGCAUCACAUUGUUAUUAUAGCUUCGGCGCUUCUUGAUGGGUGUGCGGCUGAUUAGAUAGUUGGCGGGGUAACGGCCCACCAAGUCUACGAUCAGUAGCUGAUGUGAGAGCAUGAUCAGCCACACGGGCACUGAGACACGGGCCCGACUCCUACGGGAGGCAGCAGUAAGGAAUAUUGGUCAAUGGACGCAAGUCUGAACCAGCCAUGCCGCGUGAAGGAUUAAGGUCCUCUGGAUUGUAAACUUCUUUUAUCUGGGACGAAAAAAGGCGAUUCUUCGUCACUUGACGGUACCAGAUGAGUAAGCACCGGCUAACUCCGUGCCAGCCGCCGCAGUAAGAC